UGAAAAUAUAAGACUGUCUGCCCAGUAAAAUGUAGCAUUCUAAUUACGCAAUGGUAAACACAGAUAUCAAUUAAAACAUGUCCUACAUAGGCCUCCUUAUAAAGUAAAUAAAAACACAUAAGUUUAGUACUGAAAAAACAACAUGGAGUUAGAAGCCAAAUCUGAACACAACAAUACAAAUAGGAGGCUUCACUAAGCUAAAAUCACUUCUUCCUUUUCUUUGGUGGCUGCAAAGCUUCCUCAUCUUCAUCCUCCUCUUCCUCUUCAUUGUCUUCUUCAUCAACACCUUCCUCCUCGUCCUCUUCUCCACCCUCUUCCUCAUCGUCAUCAUCCUCGUCCUCAUCGUCAUCCUCAUCUUGGUCAUCACCAUCUUCAUCAUCUUCCUCUUCUCCAUUUUCAUCUGCCCCACCAGCACCACCUUCAGGAGCUUUCUUCGAGUUGCUCUUAUUGUUGGAAUUGUUGCCAUAUCCACCUCCAUCUUCAGAUGACAAUUCAUCCUCCCCUUCUCCAAAUGCACCAUCUCCGUCAUCAUCUUCUUCGUCUUCAUCAUCGUUGCCAUCUUCUCCUUCAGCAUCAUGUUGCUUGUCUUGACUUUGGGUUUUACUAUCUCCUUUGGUUGUAGGCAUGUCGGUUAACAUUAACGCAUAGAGUUCCUACACCCAUUUUAUAAUGUUAUAAAAAAAACUUAUAUGCAUGUCAUAAAACAACUUAUAUACACAUUGAUGCAUUUAAGUGAAACAAACAAAGCGGAUAAUACAGAGGAACGACAAGUGUUUAAGAUGUUAAGUAAUUAAAACAAAAAAUUGUAACACCCUCGAAGAACAUUUUCAAAGAAUAAUUGUAUCAUAAACCAUAAAGUUAAUGUAGUAUGUUUAAUCUCUCAAAAAAAAAAAACAAUGUAGUAUGUUUAAUGUGUUAAUAUUGUUUAUAAAUUAAUUUCAAAUUACGAUUUAGCCAUGUUAAAAACAUGUAAUAUUAAUUAUAGCCAACUCAAGGAUUACAAAACAAAUUAGUAGUACAAUUAAUUAGACAUAGUUAUAAAAAAAAAUGUCGUUAUUUGGAAAAAGACUUGCACUUAGAAACAAUAAUUUUUUAAAAUGCCAGAUAGGGCCUAAUAAUUAGCCAAGCAAUUAAUUUUGUGAAGAUGCUCGUCUUAGACAAACAAAUUCAUCAUAAAAAUCAACAUUGGUAUAAAAAACGUUAUCCAUGUUACCUUUCAAAGAAAACUAUUUAUUUUAAAAAUAAAAUAAAAAAUAAUUGUAAAAUCAAAUUUAAACUCGCACAAGAUGCUUCAAGCAAUUACUUCGAAUAGUUAAAUUUAAUUGAAAUUUAGGAACAAGCCCAUAAUUAUUGGUGAUAUGAUAUGUCGUUAAGUACUCCGUAUUAUUGUAUAAUAAAAAGUUUAACUGCACUGACUGUGUACAACAUAUUUAUAUUUUUUUAACUUUUUUUUGGUACAGAUUUAUAUUUUUUUUACCAAUAUUAGUACUAUGUAUUUAUUUGUUUGCACAAGUUGACCGACAUCACUUAAUAGUGUGCUCCACAUCCAUCAAAACGACACGCGUUUAAGGUACGUGCUUUACGCUCAAUGGCAUAUCCAAACCGAAUAAUCCACGAAUCUGCUUCUUUACACUUUUACUAUUAUUUUCGCACACACGACAAAAACAUAUUUUAUAUACCCAACAUACAUUUACUAUGGUCCGUCCUAUAGUGACAAAAAAUAAUUUUAAAAUAAUUGAUAGUAAAAAAAAAAAAAAAAAAAAAGGAAAUGACAACAAGUUAACAAGUUGGAAUCAAAUUUUCUUUGAUACUCCAAAGUUGGGAUCAAUUUUAGUCGAAAGAACAUAUCAAAAUCAAUUUUAAAUCUCCUCUAAAAUUCGUCACUUUUAUUUUUUGUUACGAGAUCUUCGCUUUAAUUCUUUUUUUUUUUUUUGGUCAAGUAGCCUAGUGGCUAGAGCUCACACAAUUUAAUUGUGGAGAAGUGGAGUGUCCGGGGUUCGAACCCCGACUCCUGCAUAUAAUAUGCAAUAUCCCUACCAACUGAGCUAUGCUCACGGGGAUCGCUUUAAUUCUAAUUCUAUAAGAAUAAGAAUAAAUAAAAGCAAGUUUCCCCUAAACAAUUUUUUUUUGUAAAAAGAAUAAAAAUGAAAGGCUAUUAUCUAUAGAAAAGGUGCGUACGUUAAAAAAAGAAUAAAAGUGAAAGGCUACUUUUUAUAGGAAAGGUGCGUACGUUAGUACAAUCCCUAAAACCAAAAAAAGUUCAAAACCAGCGCAAAAUAGUAAAAAUAUAAUAGACCAUAGAACAAACAAGUUAAGCCUUCUCAGUCAUACCAUAUCCGUUUACCCUAAAAAUCGCACAGGCCACCAUGGCCUAUAACUCGUGAGCAUGCGCAAAUUAGCAUUAGUAGUGGCUUAGGUGCAUGCAUGAUAUGAUUUUGAUAAAGACAAAAGGAAAACCCUCAUAAUUGAUUAUAGACUAUUAGACCAGAAGAAAAGAAAAAAAAAAAAAUUUGAAUUUGAUAAAACACAGAUUGCUUUCAAUCAAAAGAUAGUACAUAGUAUACAGAUACGAUUAGAUCUAGUCAAGGUUGAAAGCAGUAAAAAAAGAUUGACACUUUUAAUCAAUUUCUUAAUACUUUAAAAACAUUUUUGUGAAGUGACGAAGAAAAAGUACUUACCGGAGCCAAAAGCGUGGCUUUGACAAUAGCAGAAGCUAACAUGGUUACAAGAGCUUCCGCGGCGUACGUUAACGCGCCAAAACGGAGCGUGGCGUCCAUCAUCGAACUCUGCUGUUCAGUUUCCAUUUCGUACGACAAACAAACAAGUCCCUUCUUCUCUCAAACCACAAAACGAAUAUUAUCCUGUAAAUAAUUAAUUAAUAAUUAAUUAAAUCAUAUCACCAUCACCGUUAGCUAGAUCAUCUCAGAAAUCACGACAGUUGCUGCUCUUUUUUCAGAAAUCAUGACACCAAUUAUUACUUUAAUUUUUUUUUAAUAAAAUUAAUUUUAACAAAUAUUUCUCCUUAAACCAUACAAAACAUAAAUUAUACAAUAGUCUCAAUUGUAUAAAAAUUCACUAAAAUUAUUUAACGAAGAAUUAAAACUAAUUAGGAAAGCAUAAGAACAACAGUUAGAAUUUUGCUUUUUUAAAGUGAAACAUGAAUAAGCUAAACAACUCACCAAAAGUGGAAGUGUUUGAGCAAAAAAGAGGGGAAAAAAACUUUCAGAAGCAGAAAUUUCAACGCAUAAACUGAGAAAUUGAAAAUUAAGCAUAAAAAAAAAGUGAAUUAAGAAGAAAAAGGUGAGAAUUGAAGAGAAGAAAGAUGAGAGAGGUUACCAGAAAGGAAGAUCUAGAGACUGAGAAGCAAGAUCUGAGGGUUUGAAGAACUAAAACCUCUGAAAAAUGGGAGAAGAAGCUUCAUACAUUUUGGACCGUUGGAUCGUGAUCGUAGAAACGUUGAGGUCCGAAAUAUAGAAAUAUCGGAGGUGAGUGAGAGAGAGAAAGAGAGAAGAAACACAGGUACUGGUUCGUAAUUUCUCAGCGAAGUUUCG
rnacentral:lncRNA from 1 species